rnacentral:rRNA from 1 species
GAUGAACGCCUGACAGAAUGCUUAACACAUGCAAGUCUACUUUGAUUCUUCCGGUGAAGGUGGCGGACGGGUGAGUAACGCCGUAAAGAACUUGCCCUGCAGUCUGGGACAACAUUUGGAAACGAAUGCUAAUACCGGAUAUUAUGCGAGAUUCGCAUGUUUCUCGUAUGAAAGCUAUAUGCCCUGCAGGAGAGCUUUGCGUCCUAUUAGCUAGUUGGUGAGGUAACGGCUCACCAAGGCGAUGAUAGGUAGCCGGCCUGAGAGGGUGAACGGCCACAAGGGGACUGAGACACGGCCCUUACUCCUACGGGAGGCAGCAGUGGGGAAUAUUGGACAAUGGACCAAAAGUCUGAUCCAGCAAUUCUGUGUGCACGAUGAAGUUUUUCGGAAUGUAAAGUGCUUUCAGUUGGGACGAAGUAAGUGACGGUACCAACAGAAGAAGCGACGGCUAAAUACGUGCCAGCAGCCGCGGUAAUACGUAUGUCGCAAGCGUUAUCCGGAUUUAUUGGGCGUAAAGCGCGUCUAGGCGGUUUGGCAAGUCUGAUGUGAAAAUGCGGGGCUCAACUCCGUAUUGCGUUGGAAACUGUCAAACUAGAGUACUGGAGAGGUGGGCGGAACUACAAGUGUAGAGGUGAAAUUCGUAGAUAUUUGUAGGAAUGCCGAUGGGGAAGCCAGCCCACUGGACAGAUACUGACGCUAAAGCGCGAAAGCGUGGGUAGCAAACAGGAUUAGAUACCCUGGUAGUCCACGCCGUAAACGAUGAUUACUAGGUGUUGGGGGUCGAACCUCAGCGCCCAAGCUAACGCGAUAAGUAAUCCGCCUGGGGAGUACGUACGCAAGUAUGAAACUCAAAGGAAUUGACGGGGACCCGCACAAGCGGUGGAGCAUGUGGUUUAAUUCGACGCAACGCGAGGAACCUUACCAGCGUUUGACAUCCUAGGAAGUUGGCAGAGAUGCCUUCGUGCCCCUUCGGGGGAACCUAGUGACAGGUGGUGCAUGGCUGUCGUCAGCUCGUGUCGUGAGAUGUUGGGUUAAGUCCCGCAACGAGCGCAACCCCUUUCGUAUGUUGCCAUCAUUAAGUUGGGAACUCAUGCGAUACUGCCUGCGAUGAGCAGGAGGAAGGUGGGGAUGACGUCAAGUCAUCAUGCCCCUUAUACGCUGGGCUACACACGUGCUACAAUGGGUAGUACAGAGAGUCGCUAACCUGCGAGGGGGAGCUAAUCUCAGAAAAACUAUUCUCAGUUCGGAUUGUACUCUGCAAACUCGAGUACAUGAAAGUUGGAAUCGCUAGUAAUUCGGCAAAUCAGCUAUGUUGCGGUGAAUACGUUCUCGGGUCU